rnacentral:rRNA from 1 species
AACGAACGCUGGCGGCAGGCUUAACACAUGCAAGUCGAACGGGUGUAGCAAUACAUCAGUGGCAGACGGGUGAGUAACACGUGGGAACCUUCCUCGUUGUACGAAACAACUCAGGGAAACUUGAGCUAAUACCGUAUACGUCCGAGAGGAGAAAGAUUUAUCGCAAUGAGACGGGCCCGCGUCGGAUUAGCUAGUUGGUAAGGUAACGGCUUACCAAGGCGACGAUCCGUAGCUGAUCUGAGAGGAUGAUCAGCCACACUGGGACUGAGACACGGCCCAGACUCCUACGGGAGGCAGCAGUGGGGAAUCUUGGACAAUGGGCGCAAGCCUGAUCCAGCCAUGCCGCGUGAGUGAAGAAGGCCUUCGGGUUGUAAAGCUCUUUUGUCAGGGACGAUAAUGACGGUACCUGAAGAAUAAGCCCCGGCAAACUUCGUGCCAGCCGCCGCCGUAA